rnacentral:misc_RNA from 1 species
GGGGUGUGGUGGUCAUUGCUGUUAUAGUUUAAGAAUGGACUGAGUGUUGGUCUGUCCUAUCUAUCUUUUAGGUUAGAUUUUCAUAGGCUGAAAAUAUGAAUAAACUGACAUGGGCAUUAUUGGUUUGAGGUAGGAGCCUUUUCCUUCAACAAUAAAUUUAUAUUGAAAAUGACAUGCAUUGGUAUUGCACUAUAGUAUAUACAAAAUCUCAAGAAUAGGCUAUCAACAAAAGUGACAAUAUCAAAGUAAUCUUGCAAGAAAUUUCCAAUCAUCCAAAAGUGAAGUGUAUGCAGUCAAUUUCUGCAUGGUUUUACCAUGGUGCUUCUAUAUUUUCAGAAGCAUAGAAGUCUCCAGGUUCUGGCUUUCAAAUUAUCCAUAAAGCAGUCAAAGGAAUAGCAUCCAUACAUCAUUUCGCUGUGUUCUCCAAAAAGAACCCUCUCUGAGCAUUAUGCUCUGUCUCUAUGCGCUUCAUUUAUUACCUGAUUUAACUCUAGAAUUUAUCGAACCGACUUUUUUCUUCUUUUUUUUCUUUUGAUGUUGUGUAUUUCUCUUCUUGAAUCCAAUCAAAUAUUCAAGUGUAUAGAAACUAAUUUGGUUGUAUAUUGUUGGAGCUUUCCUUUUCUUGUGGUUUUUGACAUGGAAAUGGUCCUUAGUCUGAUUUUUCAAUUUUAUUUAACAUAAUCAUGCUGAUAUUGAUCCAUGGUGAUAUCAGAGGAUUUCUGAAACACUUGAUGUUGAGAUCAAGCGUUGGGCUGCAGGGAAAGAGGGGAAUCUACGUGCUCUGCUAUCGACAAUGCAAUAUGUGCUGUGGCCUGAAUGCGGUUGGCAGCCUGUUUCGUUGACUGAUUUGAUUACUGCAGCUGCUGUUAAGAAAGCUUAUAGGAAGGCAACUUUAUGCAUCCAUCCUGAUAAAGUACAACAAAAAGGUGCCAAUCUUGAACAAAAAUAUAUCGCAGAGAAGGUGUUUGACUUGCUGAAGGAAGCAUGGAACAAGUUCAAUUCUGAGGAGCUAUUUUAAUUCCUGUGGUGAUAUUUUGCUCCAAACUACUUGAUUAGGCAAUCACACUAUUUAGUGGGGGUGGAAAUGCGCAAUUGUUCCAGUAGAUGUAUUCUUGUAUCUGCUGUAAUUGGUGUUGCAUCAUAUCACUGAUAAAAACGCCAACAGGGGACUUAUCAUUUGUAGCUAUUGAGAUACCGGAAGGUUGAAGUAGUCUCGCAUAAUUCAGGUGGCUGUAAAGGUACUUUCCUCCAGCACAGGGCGCCUGAAGGCUGGAAUUACUUCUCCAUGUAGAGUAUCGUUCUGCAUACCCCUAUGGCAUAUUAGAUGGGGGGUGGGAAGGUUUUUUUCCUUUUUUUUUUUGUUAAUUCUUUUCUAUAGUUAUAUAUAUUUUUUUCCCUUGUGGGUUUUCUUUUGGUGGUAGAGCAUGAUAUUUUGAGUGGAUACAAAUAUGUUUAUUGAUGUCAAAAUGACCUUACUUCGCUUUGUAUGAUUGUUGGGCUGUUGACUCUGAGCUGUACGUUUAAUGGAUAAAUAUAUUUUUUGUCAGUUGAUGUCUUGUUAGUUGUUGCCAGCAG